rnacentral:rRNA from 1 species
UCCGGUUGAUCCUGCCGGACCUGACUGCUAUCGGAUUGAUACUAAGCCAUGCGAGUCAUUGUAGCAAUACAAGGCAUACGGCUCAGUAACGCGUAGUCAACCUAACCUAUGGACGGGAAUAACCUCGGGAAACUGAGAAUAAUGCCCGAUAGAACAUUAUGCCUGGAAUGGCUUAUGUUCCAAAUGAUUUAUCGCCGUAGGAUGGGACUGCGGCCUAUCAGUUUGUUGGUGAGGUAAUGGCCCACCAAGACUAUUACAGGUACGGGCUCUGAGAGGAGUAGCCCGGAGAUGGGUACUGAGACACGGACCCAGGCCCUAUGGGGCGCAGCAGGCGAGAAAACUUUGCAAUGUGCGAAAGCACGACAAGGUUAAUCCGAGUGAUUUGUGCUAAACGAAUCUUUUGUUAGUCCUAGAAACACUAACGAAUAAGGGGUGGGCAAGUUCUGGUGUCAGCCGCCGCGGUAAAACCAGCACCUCAAGUGGUCAGGAUGAUUAUUGGGCCUAAAGCAUCCGUAGCCGGCUCUGUAAGUUUUCGGUUAAAUCUGUACGCUUAACGUACAGGCUGCCGGGAAUACUGCAGAGCUAGGGAGUGGGAGAAGUAGACGGUACUCGGUAGGAAGUGGUAAAAUGCUUUGAUCUAUCGAUGACCACCUGUGGCGAAGGCGGUCUACUAGAACACGUCCGACGGUGAGGGAUGAAAGCUGGGGGAGCAAACCGGAUUAGAUACCCGGGUAGUCCCAGCUGUAAACUAUGCAAACUCAGUGAUGCAUUGGCUUGUGGCCAAUGCAGUGCUGCAGGGAAGCCGUUAAGUUUGCCGCCUGGGAAGUACGUACGCAAGUAUGAAACUUAAAGGAAUUGGCGGGGGAGCACCACAAGGGGUGAAGCCUGCGGUUCAAUUGGAGUCAACGCCGGA